GAUGAACGCUGGCGGCGUGCCUAAUACAUGCAAGUCGAGCGAACAGACGUGGAGCUUGUUCCUCUUACGUUAGCGGCGGACGGGUGAGUAACACGUGGAGAACCUGCCUUUAAGAGUGGGAUAACUUCUGGAAACGGAUGCUAAUACCGGAUAAUAUCUUUAACCGCAUGGUUUAAUAUUGAAAGACGCUUUUGCAUUACCUUAUAGUUGUCCCCGCUCGUCUUUAGCGAUUUGGUAAGGAAACGGCAUACAAAGGCAACGAUCCUUAGCAGACCUGAGAGGGGGAGGGGCCACAGGGGAAGUGAGACACGGCCCAGACCCCUACGGGAGGCAGGAGGGGGGAAUCUGGCGAAAGGGGAGAAAGCCUGACGGAGCAACGGCGCGUGAGUGAAAAAGGUUCGCGGAGCGUAAAACUCUGUGAUUAGGGAAGAACAAAUGUGUAAGUAAAGAUGAACGUGUGGACGGUACCAAAGAAGAAAGCAACGGUAAAUUAGGG
rnacentral:rRNA from 1 species